GGGGGGUUCCUUAAACCAUCCAAGUGAAGCGGCCAAUUGGAACCUUGUUCCUUAAUGUAACGGGGGGAGGGUUAAGUACCAGGUGGUUACCCGCCCGGUAAGAUUGGAAUAAUCCCGGGAACCCGGGGUUAAAACGGAAUCCUUAAUUAACCGCCAGGGUUCAUUAAUAAAAGGUGGUUUUAGCUACCACUUACAGAUGGACCCGCGGCGCAUUAGCUAGUUGGUGAGGUAACGGCUCACCAAGGCAACGAUGCGUAGCCGACCUGAGAGGGUGAUCGGCCACACUGGGACUGAGACACGGCCCAGACUCCUACGGGAGGCAGCAGUAGGGAAUCUUCCGCAAUGGACGAAAGUCUGACGGAGCAACGCCGCGUGAGUGAUGAAGGUUUUCGGAUCGUAAAACUCUGUUGUUAGGGAAGAACAAGUACCGUUCGAAUAGGGCGGUACCUUGACGGUACCUAACCAGAAAGCC
rnacentral:rRNA from 1 species